AUAUUGCGCAAUGGCCGCAAGGCUGACGCAGCGACGCCGCGUGGAGGAUGAAGCCCCUCGGGGUGUAAACUCCUGUUGCUCGGGACGAACCAUGGGUUUCGACCCAUCUGACGGUACCGAGUGAGGAAGCACCGGCUAACUCCGUGCCAGCAGCCGCGGUAAUACAGAGGGUGCGAGCGUUAAUCGGAAUUACUGGGCGUAAAGCGCGCGUAGGCGGUCUUGUAAGUCGGGUGUGAAAGCCCCGGGCUCAACCUGGGAAUUGCAUUCGAGACUGCAGGACUGGAGUAUUGGAGAGGGCAGCGGAAUUUCCGGUGUAGCGGUGAAAUGCGUAGAUAUCGGAAGGAACAUCAGUGGCGAAAGCGGCUGCCUGGCCAAAUACUGACGCUCAUGUGCGAAAGCGUGGGGAGCAAACAGG
rnacentral:rRNA from 1 species